UACAGAGGUCUCAAGCGUUGUUCGGAUUCAUUGGGCGUAAAGGGUGCGUAGGUGGCGAGGCAAGUCGGAUGUGAAAUCCCGGGGCUCAACCCCGGAACUGCAUUCGAUACUGCCCUGCUGGAGUUACUGGAGAGGAGAUCGGAAUUUACGGUGUAGCAGUGAAAUGCGUAGAUAUCGUAAGGAAGACCAGUGGCGAAGGCGGAUCUCUGGACAGUUACUGACA
rnacentral:rRNA from 1 species